rnacentral:rRNA from 1 species
UGCGUAGGUGGUGGGGUAAGUCGGAUGUGAAAUCUCCGAGCUCAACUCGGAAAUGGCAUUGGAAACUACCCUGCUAGAGGGUCGGAGGGGGGACUGGAAUACUUGGUGUAGCAGUGAAAUGCGUAGAUAUCAAGUGGAACACCAGUGGCGAAGGCGAGUCCCUGGACGACUCCUGACACUGAGGCACGAAAGCUAGGGGAGCAAACAGGAUUAGAUACCCUGGUAGUCCUAGCCGUAAACGGUGCACGUUUGCUGUAAAAGGAAUCGACCCCUUUUGUGGCGUAGCCAACGCGUUAAACGUGCCGCCUGGGAAGUACGGUCGCAAGAUUAAA